rnacentral:rRNA from 1 species
UACGGGGGGAGCAAGCGUUGUUCGGAUUUACUGGGCGUAAAGGGCGUGUAGGCGGCCACCGCAAGUCGACUGUGAAAUCUCCGGGCUUAACUCGGAAAGGUCAGCCGAUACUGCGGGGCUAGAGUGCAGAAGGGGCAACUGGAAUUCUCGGUGUAGCGGUGAAAUGCGUAGAUAUCGAGAGGAAUACCUAUGGCGAAGGCAGGUUACUGGGCCGUCACUGACGCUGAGCUGCGAAAGCUAGGGGAGCAAACAGG